UACGGAAGGCAGCAGUGGGGAAUAUUGCACAAUGGGCGCAAGCCUGAUGCAGCCAGUGCCGCGUGUAUGAAGAAGGCCUUCGGGUUGUAAAGUACUUUCAGUCGUGAGGAAGGUGUUAAGGUUAAUAACCUUAGCAAUUGACGUUAGCGACAGAAGAAGCACCGGCUAACUCCGUGCCAGCAGCCGCGGUAAUACGGAGGGUGCGAGCGUUAAUCGGAAUUACUGGGCGUAAAGGGCACGCAGGCGGUUAAUUAAGUUGGAUGUGAAAUCCCCGGGCUUAACCUGGGAAUGGCAUUCAAGACUGGUUAGCUAGAGUCUUGUAGAGGGGGUAGAAUUCCAUGUGUAGCGGUGAAAUGCGUAGAGAUGUGGAGGAAUACCGGUGGCGAAGGCGGCCCCUGGACAAAGACUGACGCUCAUGUGCGAAAGCGUGGGGAGCAAAC
rnacentral:rRNA from 1 species